rnacentral:rRNA from 1 species
CACGUAGGGCGCAAGCGUUGUCCGGAAUUAUUGGGCGUAAAGAGCUCGUAGGCGGACUGUCACGUCUGCUGUGAAAAGCUGGGGCUUAACCCUGGCCUUGCAGUGGAUACGGGCAGACUAGAGGUAGGUAGGGGAGAAUGGAAUUCCCGGUGUAGCGGUGAAAUGCGCAGAUAUCGGGAGGAACACCGGUGGCGAAGGCGGUUCUCUGGGCCUUACCUGACGCUGAGGAACGAAAGCGUGGGGAGCGAACAGG